CCCCUAGAUGUUCUGGGCCGCACGCGCGCUACACUGAACAGUUCAACAAGUCUUAACCUUGGCCGAUAGGUCUGGGUAAUCUUUGAACGCUGUUCGUGAUUGGGAUAGACCUUUGCAAUUAUGGGUCUUCAACGAGGAAUUCCUAGUAAACGCAAGUCAUCAGCUUGCAUUGAUUACGUCCCUGCCCUUUGUACACACCGCCCGUCGCUCCUACCGAUUGGGUGAUCCGGUGAAUGAUUCGGACUUCGGUGCUCCUAGCUUGCUAGGCGUACUGGGGAAAGUUUUGUGAACCUUAUCACUUGGAGGAAGGAGAANUCGUANCA
rnacentral:rRNA from 1 species